GUUAGACUUUUGUCUUAGGACAAAAGAAGGGUUCUUAGGAGGGCAGUGGGUCUUGCUGGGUCCAGAUACCUAGAAGCAUCCUCCACUAGCUGCCAGAACUCAGCAGAGAGUGAGACACUGACAGGAUGACCAAGAGGCCAGGCUGAGACUCUCUGUGAAGGAGAUGCCCAGCUGAGUGCCUCCUCUCCUACAGGAGAUUGCAUCCUACCUGAUCACCUUUGAGAAGCAUGAUGAGUGGCUGUCUUGUGCCCCAAAGACAAGGCCUCAGAAUGGCUCCAUCAUCCUCUACAAUCGCAAGAAGGUGAAAUAUCGGAAGGAUGGUUACCUCUGGAAGAAGCGGAAGGAUGGGAAG
rnacentral:lncRNA from 1 species